GCGGGCAUAGCUCAGUGGUAGAGCGUCUGCUUGCCAUGCAGAAGGUCGCGGGUUCGAAUCCCGUUGCCCGCUCCA
rnacentral:tRNA from 1 species